UCACUCUAGCCUGGGCAACAGAGUGAGACUCUGCCUCAAAAAUAAAGAAAUAAAAGAAUGAAAAUAGAGAGCAGAGCCUGCACAGUCAGACACCCUUGGGGACAGGCCAGGCUCGGCCCGCGUGGAGCUGGGCAAGCUGGCCAAUUGCUCUGAGCUGCAGUCUCCCCUUCCGUGGAAUGGGCAUCUCAGGGUGGAGCGUGAAGGAUGGACGAGCUCGUGCUUGCACACUGCUGAGCGCCUGCCCAGCCCACCGAGGCUCAGCCGGCUUGGGUUUUCUCGGGCUCGCACAGCGACCGGCCUGAGCGUGCCCUGGCCCGGCUAAGGUCCCGGCUCUGCAGCCCCAGUGCAUCAUUAUCCCACCUUCCACGGUGACCCGCAGAGGCACACCUGAACGAGAGGCCCACCUCUGAGGCCCGAGGACACCUGGGAUAAGCCCCAGCAGGCUGGGUGCCCACCGUCCCCCUCCAAACCCCGCAGCAGAACACGAACGGCCUCCCCGGCACGACUAGGAUGCAUUGCACUGUUCCUGUUUAAACACCGAUGAGAAGUGGGGGCCUUCCAAGCUUGCUGAGAUCCUGUGAUACAUACUCUCGAGUGCUUUGGCCACGUUGUUUUGCAGCGACCUGUGUUCCUUCCGAGGUCUACGUCGCACCGGGCUUUUCACAUUUUUGUGCUUUUUCGCCGGUGAUUUUGCUGUUUAAAAUGGUCCCCAACCGCAGCUCUGAUCCGGUGUCUUGAGUCCCUGUGCGUGAGAAGACUGCGAGGUGCCUUGCUGAGCAGGUACCUGUGUCAGAAAAGAAAAUUAUGAGCCCGGACUGUUUCAGCUUUUCAUAUGGACAUGUAGAAAUCCUUAGUUUCAUCCAAGAGGAAACUUUCUAAGUAACAAGUUGAUGGAUUUUGCGUGCUGCCAGCAAUUACCUUUUGAGCCUGAGCUUUUCUGAACAGAAUCCAAAUCCAUAAAGACAUUGAUAUAAUAAGAACUAUCUUCUUUGCUGGCGUGCCUGCCAUAUUUUCAAUGUCUUUUAAGGAGCACUGUGGCUGUGACUUCUUGAAACCGACUUUAAAAGGCUCUGAUUGGAAACACACACACACACAAAACAAAGGAACAACAGUAACAACAAGGGAACCCCUUAAUCAAAGGCUGGGGCAUUUCCAGAAAUACCCUUCCACUACCUGGGGCAAGGCAAGGAGGCGCACCUUUGGUUUCUUUCCUUCCUUUUUCCUUCCUUUUUCCUUCCUUUUUCCUUCCUUU